rnacentral:rRNA from 1 species
GACGAACGCUGGCGGCGUGCUUAACACAUGCAAGUCGAACGGAAAGGCCCUGCUUUUGUGGGGUGCUCGAGUGGCGAACGGGUGAGUAACACGUGAGUAACCUGCCCUUGACUUUGGGAUAACUUCAGGAAACUGGGGCUAAUACCGGAUAGGAGCUCCUGCUGCAUGGUGGGGGUUGGAAAGUUUCGGCGGUUGGGGAUGCACUCGCGGCUUAUCAGCUCGUUGGUGGGGUAGUGGCUUACCAAGGCUUUGACGGGUAGCCGGCCUGAGAGGGUGACCGGCCACAUUGGGACUGAGAUACGGCCCAGACUCCUACGGGAGGCAGCAGUGGGGAAUAUUGCACAAUGGGCGGAAGCCUGAUGCAGCAACGCCGCGUGCGGGAUGACGGCCUUCGGGUUGUAAACCGCUUUCGCCUGUGACGAAGCGUGAGUGACGGUAAUGGGUAAAGAAGCACCGGCUAACUACGUG